rnacentral:snRNA from 1 species
AAGUAAUGCAUAUCUUACACCAU